GUGUACCCGCGGCAAGACGGAAAGACCCCGUGAACCUUUACUAUAGCUUGACACUGAACAUUGAGCCUUGAUGUGUAGGAUAGGUGGGAGGCUUUGAAGUGUGGACGCCAGUCUGCAUGGAGCCGACCUUGAAAUACCACCCUUUAAUGUUUGAUGUUCUAACGUUGGCCCGUAAUCCGGGUUGCGGACAGUGUCUGGUGGGUAGUUUGACUGGGGCGGUCUCCUCCUAAAGAGUAACGGAGGAGCACGAAGGUUGGCUAAUCCUGGUCGGACAUCAGGAGGUUAGUGCAAUGGCAUAAGCCAGCUUGACUGCGAGCGUGACGGCGCGAGCAGGUGCGAAAGCAGGUCAUAGUGAUCCGGUGGUUCUGAAUGGAAGGGCCAUCGCUCAACGGAUAAAAGGUACUCCGGGGAUAACAGGCUGAUACCGCCCAAGAGUUCAUAUCGACGGCGGUGUUUGGCACCUCGAUGUCGGCUCAUCACAUCCUGGGGCUGAAGUAGGUCCCAAGGGUAUGGCUGUUCGCCAUUUAAAGUGGUACGCGAGCUGGGUUUAGAACGUCGUGAGACAGUUCGGUCCCUAUCUGCCGUGGGCGCUGGAGAACUGAGGGGGGCUGCUCCUAGUACGAGAGGACCGGAGUGGACGCAUCACUGGUGUUCGGGUUGUCAUGCCAAUGGCACUGCCCGGUAGCUAAAUGCGGAAGAGAUAAGUGCUGAAAGCAUCUAAGCACGAAACUUGC
rnacentral:rRNA from 1 species